rnacentral:rRNA from 1 species
UACAGAGGGGGCAAGCGUUGUUCGGAAUUACUGGGCGUAAAGGGCGCGUAGGCGGCCUUCUAAGUCGAACGUGAAAUCCCCGGGCUCAACCCGGGAACUGCGUCCGAGACUGAAAGGCUCGAAUCCGGGAGAGGGAUGUGGAAUUCCAGGGUGUAGCGGUGAAAUGCGUAGAUAUCUGGAGGAACAUCGGUGGCGAAGGCGGCAUCCUGGACCGGUAUUGACGCUGAGGCGCGAAAGCCAGGGAGCAACGGG